UGGGGAAUAUUGGACAAUGGGCGCAAGCCUUAUCCAGCCAUGCCGCGUGAGUGAUGAAGGCCCUAGGGUUGUAAAGCUCUUUUGUGCGGGAAGAUAAUGACUGUACCGCAAGAAUAAGCCCCGGCUAACUUCGUGCCAGCAGCCGCGGUAAUACGAAGGGGGCUAGCGUUGCUCGGAAUCACUGGGCGUAAAGGGUGCGUAGGCGGGUCUUUAAGUCAGGGGUGAAAUCCUGGAGCUCAACUCCAGAACUGCCUUUGAUACUGAGGAUCUUGAGUUCGGGAGAGGUGAGUGGAACUGCGAGUGUAGAGGUGAAAUUCGUAGAUAUUCGCAAGAACACCAGUGGCGAAGGCGGCUCACUGGCCCGAUACUGACGCUGAGGCACGAAAGCGUGGGGAGCAAAC
rnacentral:rRNA from 1 species